CUACGGGGUGCAGCAGUGGGGAAUAUUGCACAAUGGGCGAAAGCCUGAUGCAGCAACGCCGCGUGAGGGACGACGGCCUUCGGGUUGUAAACCUCUUUUAGCAGGGAAGAAGCGAAAGUGACGGUACCUGCAGAAAAAGCACCGGCUAACUAUGUGCCAGCAGCCGCGGUAAUACGUAGGGUGCAAGCGUUGUCCGGAAUUAUUGGGCGUAAAGAGCUCGUAGGCGGUUUGUCGCGUCUGCUGUGAAAAUCCGAGGCUCAACCUCGGACCUGCAGUGGGUACGGGCAAACUAGAGUGCGGUAGGGGAGAUUGGAAUUCCUGGAGUAGCGGUGGAAUGCGCAGAUAUCAGGAGGAACACCAAUGGCGAAGGCAGAUCUCUGGGCCGUAACUGACGCUGAGGAGCGAAAGCGUGGGGAGCGAACAGGAUUAGAUACCCUUGUAGUC
rnacentral:rRNA from 1 species